rnacentral:rRNA from 1 species
CGGCGAGUGAAGCGGCAACAGCUCAAAUUUGAAAGCUGGCCCUUUCAGGGUCCGCAUUGUAAUUUGUAGAGGAUGAUUCGGCGAGGGCUCCCGCCUAAGUCCCCUGGAACGGGGCGUCAUAGAGGGUGAGAAUCCCGUAUGCGGUGGGCUACCUUAGCCAUGUGAAUCUCCUUCGACGAGUCGAGUUGUUUGGGAAUGCAGCUCUAAAUGGGAGGUAAAUUUCUUCUAAAGCUAAAUACCGGCCAGAGACCGAUAGCGCACAAGUAGAGUGAUCGAAAGAUGAAAAGCACUUUGGAAAGAGAGUUAAAAAGUACGUGAAAUUGUUGAAAGGGAAGCGCUUGCAACCAGACUUGUCCGCAGUUGCUCAGCCGGUCUCCUGACCGGCGUACUCUUCUGCGGCCAGGCCAGCAUCAGUUCGGGCGGUCGGAUAAAGACCUCGGGAAUGUAGCUCCUCUCGGGGAGUGUUAUAGCCCGGGGUGGAAUGCGGCCAGCCUGGACUGAGGAUCUCGCUUCGGCAAGGAUGCUGGCGUAAUGGUUGUAAGCGGC